rnacentral:rRNA from 1 species
UACAGAGGGUGCAAGCGUUAAUCGGAAUUACUGGGCGUAAAGCGUGCGUAGACGGUUACGUAAGUCGGGUGUGAAAGCCCCGGGCUUAACCGAGGAACUGCCCUCCAAACUGCUUGGCUUGAGACCGGGAGAGGUGAGUGGAAUUCCCAGUGUAGCGGUGAAAUGCGUAGAUAUUGGGAGGAACACCAGUGGCGAAGGCGGCUCACUGGACCGGUACUGACGCUGAGGCGCGAAAGCGUGGGGAGCAAACGGG